rnacentral:tRNA from 1 species
GGCUCAGUUGGUAGAGCAUGGUGUUUUCAACGCCAGGGUUGUGGGUUCGAUUCCCAC